rnacentral:rRNA from 1 species
AUUGAACGCUGGCGGCAUGCCUUACACAUGCAAGUCGAACGGCAGCACGGGAGCAAUCCUGGUGGCGAGUGGCGAACGGGUGAGUAAAGUAUCGGAACGUGCCCAGUCGUGGGGGAUAACGUAGCGAAAGUUACGCUAAUACCGCAUACGAUCUAUGGAUGAAAGCGGGGGAUCGCAAGACCUCGCGCGAUUGGAGCGGCCGAUAUCAGAUUAGGUAGUUGGUGGGGUAAAGGCUCACCAAGCCGACGAUCUGUAGCUGGUCUGAGAGGACGACCAGCCACACUGGGACUGAGACACGGCCCAGACUCCUACGGGAGGCAGCAGUGGGGAAUUUUGGACAACGGGCGAAAGCCUGAUCCAGCCAUGCCGCGUGCAGGAUGAAGGCCUUCGGGUUGUAAACUGCUUUUGCACGGAACGAAAAGGUUUGGGCUAAUAAGCUGAGCUCAUGACGGUACCGUAAGAAUAAGCACCGGCUAACUACGUGCCAGCCGCCGCGAUAA